UACGGAGGGGGCUAGCGUUGUUCGGAAUUACUGGGCGUAAAGCGCACGUAGGCGGCUUUGUAAGUUAGAGGUGAAAGCCCGGGGCUCAACUCCGGAAUUGCCUUUAAGACUGCAUCGCUUGAAUCAUGGAGAGGUGAGUGGAAUUCCGAGUGUAGAGGUGAAAUUCGUAGAUAUUCGGAAGAACACCAGUGGCGAAGGCGACUCACUGGACAUGUAUUGACGCUGAGGUGCGAAAGCGUGGGGAGCAAACAGG
rnacentral:rRNA from 1 species